rnacentral:rRNA from 1 species
UCGAGAAUCUUUGUCAAUGGACGAAAGUCUGAACAAGCGACGCCGCGUGCGGGAUGAAGGCCUUCGGGUUGUAAACCGCUGUCAGAGGGGAAGAAAUUUUGACUGAUCCUCAGAGGAAGGACGGGCUAAGUUCGUGCCAGCAGCCGCGGUAAGACGAACCGUCCAAACGUUAUUCGGAAUCACUGGGCUUAAAGGGUGCGUAGGCGGUGCAGUAAGUUGGGUGUGAAAUCCCUCGGCUCAACCGAGGAACUGCGCCCAAUACUGCUGUGCUUGAGGGAGACAGAGGUGAGCGGAACUGAUGGUGGAGCGGUGAAAUGCGUUGAUAUCAUCAGGAACACCGGUGGCGAAAGCGGCUCGCUGGGUCUUUUCUGACGCUGAGGCACGAAAGCUAGGGGAGCGAACGGGAUUAGAUACCCCCGUAGUCC